AGUAGGGCGGGACACGUGGUAUCCUGUCUGAAUAUGGGGGGACCAUCCUCCAAGGCUAAAUACUCCUGACUGACCGAUAGUGAACCAGUACCGUGAGGGAAAGGCGAAAAGAACCCCGGCGAGGGGAGUGAAAAAGAACCUGAAACCGUGUACGUACAAGCAGUGGGAGCACGCUUAGGCGUGUGACUGCGUACCUUUUGUAUAAUGGGUCAGCGACUUAUAUUCUGUAGCAAGGUUAACCGAAUAGGGGAGCCGAAGGGAAACCGAGUCUUAACUGGGCGUUAAGUUGCAGGGUAUAGACCCGAAACCCGGUGAUCUAGCCAUGGGCAGGUUGAAGGUUGGGUAACACUAACUGGAGGACCGAACCGACUAAUGUUGAAAAAUUAGCGGAUGACUUGUGGCUGGGGGUGAAAGGCCAAUCAAACCGGGAGAUAGCUGGUUCUCCCCGAAAGCUAUUUAGGUAGCGCCUCGUGAAUUCAUCUCCGGGGGUAGAGCACUGUUUCGGCAAGGGGGUCAUCCCGACUUACCAACCCGAUGCAAACUGCGAAUACCGGAGAAUGUUAUCACGGGAGACACACGGCGGGUGCUAACGUCCGUCGUGAAGAGGGAAACAACCCAGACCGCCAGCUAAGGUCCCAAAGUCAUGGUUAAGUGGGAAACGAUGUGGGAAGGCCCAGACAGCCAGGAUGUUGGCUUAGAAGCAGCCAUCAUUUAAAGAAAGCGUAAUAGCUCACUGGUCGAGUCGGCCUGCGCGGAAGAUGUAACGGGGCUAAACCAUGCACCGAAGCUGCGGCAGCGACGCUGAUGCGUUGUUGGGUA
rnacentral:rRNA from 1 species